rnacentral:hammerhead_ribozyme from 1 species
GUACUGCCGAAGAGUCCCAAACUAGGACGAAACAACCGUCCAGUAC